ACGGUCAUAUGCUGAAGCACCAGUUCCCGUACGAUCACCGAAGGUAAGCAACGUCAUACCUGGUCAGUACCAAGAUGGGUGACUGCUUCAAAAUACCAGGUGGUGUAA